rnacentral:rRNA from 1 species
GUUAGCGGCGGACGGGUGAGUAACACGUGGAUAACCUACCUAUAAGACUGGGAUAACUUCGGGAAACCGGGAGCUAAUACCGGAUAAUAUUUUGAACCGCAUGGUUCAAAAGUGAAAGACGGUCUUGCUGUCACUUAUAGAUGGAUCCGCGCUGCAUUAGCUAGUUGGUAAGGUAACGGCUUACCAAGGCAACGAUGCAUAGCCGACCUGAGAGGGUGAUCGGCCACACUGGAACUGAGACACGGUCCAGACUCCUACGGGAGGCAGCAGUAGGGAAUCUUCCGCAAUGGGCGAAAGCCUGACGGAGCAACGCCGCGUGAGUGAUGAAGGUCUUCGGAUCGUAAAACUCUGUUAUUAGGGAAGAACAUAUGUGUAAGUAACUGUGCACAUCUUGACGGUACCUAAUCAGAAAGCCACGGCUAACUACGUGCCAGCAGCCGCGGUAAUACGUAGGUGGCAAGCGUUAUCCGGAAUUAUUGGGCGUAAAGCGCGCGUAGGCGGUUUUUUAAGUCUGAUGUGAAAGCCCACGGCUCAACCGUGGAGGGUCAUUGGAAACUGGAAAACUUGAGUGCAGAAGAGGAAAGUGGAAUUCCAUGUGUAGCGGUGAAAUGCGCAGAGAUAUGGAGGAACACCAGUGGCGAAGGCGACUUUCUGGUCUGUAACUGACGCUGAUGUGCGAAAGCGUGGGGAUCAAACAGGAUUAGAUACCCUGGUAGUCCACGCCGUAAACGAUGAGUGCUAAGUGUUAGGGGGUUUCCGCCCCUUAGUGCUGCAGCUAACGCAUUAAGCACUCCGCCUGGGGAGUACGACCGCAAGGUUGAAACUCAAAGGAAUUGACGGGGACCCGCACAAGCGGUGGAGCAUGUGGUUUAAUUCGAAGCAACGCGAAGAACCUUACCAAAUCUUGACAUCCUUUGACAACUCUAGAGAUAGAGCCUUCCCCUUCGGGGGACAAAGUGACAGGUGGUGCAUGGUUGUCGUCAGCUCGUGUCGUGAGAUGUUGGGUUAAGUCCCGCAACGAGCGCAACCCUUAAGCUUAGUUGCCAUCAUUAAGUUGGGCACUCUAAGUUGACUGCCGGUGACAAACCGGAGGAAGGUGGGGAUGACGUCAAAUCAUCAUGCCCCUUAUGAUUUGGGCUACACACGUGCUACAAUGGACAAUACAAAGGGCAGCGAAACCGCGAGGUCAAGCAAAUCCCAUAAAGUUGUUCUCAGUUCGGAUUGUAGUCUGCAACUCGACUACAUGAAGCUGGAAUCGCUAGUAAUCGUAGAUCAGCAUGCUACGGUGAAUACGUUCCCGGGUCUUGUACACACCGCCCGUCACAGCCACGAGAGUUUGUAACACCCGAAGCCCGGUGG